CUCUGUGUGUGUAGAUUUUGCUCACUGAGCCUGUACUUGGUCAGGAUGUGCCUCUGCUUCGUAUCUCUGACAGAGAUGAGAUAUUCAGCCAAUUC